GAAGACCACAAGCAGAUUGAGUUUAUCAAGCACUUGAAGCGCAGUCUCCUGGCCCCUCACCUGCAGAGGCCACUUGGAUUGCUGCAGAAGUGCCAAAAUUUGAAGAAAUAACAUCAGCUGUGUGAUAAUUCAGUUAGCCCUCAGGAGCACGAGCCAGCAGGGGAGGUGGCGGAGAGAGGGAGUGGUGGAGACGAAGCGGGACGAAGAAUAGGGCUCACCGGUUCUCAGCGCGUGGAGGUGCCCCAGCAGCGGCGGAGCCCCGUGGAAGUGGAACUCGCGAUAGCGGCGGCGGAAGCAGGCGCCGCGCCGGAGAGGAGGCGGCGCCAGGGCUUGCAGAGGAGGAGGAGGUCGUCCGCCAGCGCUGGCGCCAUGGCCGCUGCUGUGCUGGGAGAUUGUGCCGGGAAUGAAUGGUUUGGGGACGGAACCUGGUUCGGUUCAACCAGCUUCUUGCUUGGGAGCGUCUACCAUGUGGGACCGGGCUGGCAGCGAGAGUAAGUUUGAUACCUGUCCUUGUCCUGUCCAGCAAGAAAGAGACCUCCUGGGUUUUCCCAAGGCAAAACUGCGUCUGCGUAGUCCUCUACCUUCUUGCAUUAACAGACCACAUUAUCAGAAAUUCAGAAUGGAACAUUCAAACUUCAUACAGGCAAAAUUAACAUCCAUCAGCAAAAUGGAUGGAUGGACAACUUUGAUUGAGCAGCUAAGCAUUUCGGUUUUCAAACUUUA